rnacentral:lncRNA from 1 species
UCAAAUCCUCGUCUGUCAAAUCCUCCGACGAGUCAACCGACGGGAUGCUCCUGCUCCUCCGACGCUCCAGCCUCAUGAAAUGCCGCCGCCGCCGCUCCCAUGCCAAGUCCCUCGACGUCUCGCACAUUGACAGCUGUUUCGACAGGAACCUCUGGCUCUUUGCUGGCUGAUGAUUCAUCGCUCUCUGCUGCUGCGGCGG